AUUGAACGCUGGCGGCAGGCUUAACACAUGCAAGUCGAGCGGGGUGAUGGUGCUUGCACUAUCACUUAGCGGCGGACGGGUGAGUAAUGCUUAGGAAUCUGCCUAUUAGUGGGGGACAACAUCUCGAAAGGGAUGCUAAUACCGCAUACGUCCUACGGGAGAAAGCAGGGGAUCACUUGUGACCUUGCGCUAAUAGAUGAGCCUAAGUCGGAUUAGCUAGUUGGUGGGGUAAAGGCCUACCAAGGCGACGAUCUGUAGCGGGGCUGAGAGGAUGAUCCGCCACAGUGGGACUGAGACACGGCCCAGACUCAUACGGGAGGCAGCAGUGGGGAAUAUUGGACAAUGGGGGGAACCCUGAUCCAGCCAUGCCGCGUGUGUGAAGAAGGCCUUAUGGUUGUAAAGCACUUUAAGCGAGGAGGAGGCUCUUUUGGUUAAUACCCAAGAUGAGUGGACGUUACUCGCAGAAUAAGCACCGGCUAACUCUGUGCCAGCCGCCGCCGUAA
rnacentral:rRNA from 1 species